ensembl:lncRNA
GUGUAUAAUUUGUUUUCUUUUUUUUUAUUCCAGUAUGCUCUACAUCUUGCCUUGGGAGCACCCUUUGAUUUUACAUCUGUAAGUAAUUAUAAAGGUAAAUGUGUUUAACUGAUGUUGUUGUAGCUGUUAAUAUUUUAAUAUUUCAGUUAUUUUUUUUCCUUUUUCUUCCAGUGUGACAUGCCAAAGAUUCGGAGAUGGUGGACUCUAAUUCUUUUAGAGAACUUUGGGGUUUUCUCUGAAAGUGCAGAUACCCUUCAAGAGGCUCUUCCACACAGAGAACCAGCUGAGCUUAGCAGCAGUGAGGAGCUACCAGUAAUCCGAGACAUGGCAGAAGCUGUGAAAUGGAUUGAUUCCAAUAACCAUCUGCUCAGAGGGCCGGUGGAAGAGCCUCUUUUCCUCACCAUGACUGAGGAGGAAAAGGAAAAGGCCCUCAAUGAUCUCAGUGAAAGCACAGACUCUUCGAGGGAGCCCUUUACGUUUCUUUUUCAGUUCAGGGAUGACAUGGAAUUAGUUAUACAAGAAUGUCAUGACAAAAUGGGCCUAAAACUGAACUGUUCAUUUGAUACAUUUUAAUUUAAAUUAAUGCCAUAUGGUCAUGACAAUGUGUGAAUUGUUUGUUUUGUAAAUUGUCAUUUUCAUUUUAUACAAAAUUGUCAUGGCAAAUUGUUUAGCAAGUUUAUUCCAUAAACUUUAAUUAUCUAGUUUUUGAUUUGUUUCUUUUAAAAUUUUGUGUGUUUGAAGAUUUUUACAGCAAUGUUUUAAUUUUUUUGUAGUGAAAUGCAUGAUACACAUGUUCUUUGCUUUGAAGUAUAUUUUUUUAUGUUGUGAUUAAAGUAUAUUUCAUAUAAAAUGCCUUAAGUUUCAAUUAAUUUUUAUUAUCUCGAACUCGAGGAAAUAGCUCACGUAA